rnacentral:RNase_P_RNA from 1 species
UCGGCCGGGCGGCCGCGCGCGGAAACGCUCGAGGAACGUCCGGGCUCCACAGGGCAGGGUGAUGGCUAACAGCCACCCGGGGUAACCCGCGGGACAGUGCCACAGAAAACAAACCACCGGCGCGCACGCGUCGGUAAGGGUGAAAAGGUGAGGUAAGAGCUCACCAGCGGCGCGGGUGACCGCGUCGGCUCGGUAAACCCCACCCGGAGCAAGACCGAGCAGCAGGCAGGGCGGCCCGCCUCAUGCCUGCGGGUAGGUUGCUGGAGGCCGUCGGUAACGACGGUCCUAGAUAGAUGGUCGCCACCGCGCUUUUUCCGGUAACGGAGCGCGGGGACAGAACCCGGCGUAUAGGCCGAC